AUGAUGUCUUAUGGUCUGUGGCUUUGGCUGUUGGUUCUAGUGUUGGCUUCAUGGUUCAGGUUAAAGUAUCCCCAUGUUGCCAUCGGAGCCCUGGCGUCUUCUGCACCCAUCCUGCACUUCGACGACAUCACCCCGUGGUCAAGCUUCCAUGAUACCGUCUCACGGGACUUCAAGUCCGAGAGCCUGAAUUGCUUCAGUGUCAUCAAGGCAGUCUGGGAUGUGCUAGAUAACAGGGGAUCCAACGAUACAGGGCUCUUGGAGCUCAGCAAAACCUUCAGGGCCUGCAAGACCGUGCAGUUCAUUUAUUCGCUGAGCAGCUGGCUACAGACAGCGUUCAUCCACACAGCCACGAUGGACUAUCCAACCCCAGCAAAUUUCUUAAUGAAUCUGCCUGCUUACCCAGUCAAGGAGAUGUGCAAGAUCAUUGAUUCUUUUCCUGCGGGAGCAGACGUCAUCGACAAGGCUUUCGCUGCGGCGAGCUUGUACUACAAUUACACAGGCGACAAGAAAUGCUUCCAGGUGGAGGGUGGCGAUGACCCUCAUGGCUUCAAAGGAUGGGGCUGGCAGGCCUGCACAGAGAUGGUCAUGCCAAUGACGGUGUCGAACGAGAGCAUGUUCCGACCAUCCAGCUUCAGUUACGAGAAGAUGUCCGAGAGCUGCCUUGCGGGCUACAGAGUUCGUCCAAGGAUGCACUGGAUCACUUCUGAAUAUGGUGGCCAUAAAAUUGACAAGGUUCUCAAGAGGUUUGGGAGCAACAUCAUCUUCUCCAACGGGAUGCGAGACCCGUGGAGUGGAGGCGGGGUACUCAAGAACAUAUCAUCCAGCAUCAUUGCUCUUGUCACGGAGAAAGGGGCCCAUCAUUUGGACUUGAGAUCUGCAACCAAGGAUGAUCCAGACUGGAUUGUAGAACAAAGGAGACAGGAAACUGAGAUCAUACAUGGAUGGAUAGAUCAGUAUAACAAGGACAUUGCACAGACGUAG
rnacentral:rRNA from 1 species